CUACGGGGGGCACCAGUGGGGAAUAUUGGGCAAUGGGCGCAAGCCUGACCCAGCAACGCCGCGUGAGGGAAGAAUGUCUUCGGAUUGUAAACCUCUGUCCUUGGGGACGAAAAAAAUGACGGUACCCAAGGAGGAAGCUCCGGCUAACUACGUGCCAGCAGCCGCGGUAUACGUAGGGAGCAAGCGUUGUCCGGAAUUAUUGGGCGUAAAGGGUGCGUAGGCGGCGCUGUAAGUCAGAUGUGAAAUCCCCGGGCUUAACUCGGGAGUUGCAUUUGAAACUACAGUGCUUGAGUAAAGAAGGGGUAAGUGGAAUUCCUAGUGUAGCGGUGGAAUGCGUAGAUAUUAGGAGGAACACCAGUGGCGAAGGCGACUUACUGGUCUUUUACUGACGCUGAGGCACGAAAGCGUGGGGAGCAAACAGGAUUAGAUACCCGCGUAGUC
rnacentral:rRNA from 1 species